rnacentral:rRNA from 1 species
UUUGCAGAGGGCGCUUUGGCAUUGGCAGCGGUCCAAGUUCCUUGGAACAGGACGUCACAGAGGGUGAGAAUCCCGUACGUGGUCGCUAGCCUUUACCGUGUAAAGCCCCUUCGACGAGUCGAGUUGUUUGGGAAUGCAGCUCUAAAUGGGAGGUAAAUUUCUUCUAAAGCUAAAUACUGGCCAGAGACCGAUAGCGCACAAGUAGAGUGAUCGAAAGAUGAAAAGCACUUUGGAAAGAGAGUUAAAAAGCACGUGAAAUUGUUGAAAGGGAAGCGCUUGCAGCCAGACUUGCCUGUAGUUGCUCAUCCGGGUUUCUACCCGGUGCACUCUUCUACGGGCAGGCCAGCAUCAGUUUGGGCGGUUGGAUAAAGGUCUCUGUCAUGUACCUCCUUUCGGGGAGAUCUUAUAGGGGAGACGACAUGCAACCAGCCUGGACUGAGGUCCGCGCAUCUGCUAGGAUGCUGGCGUAAUGGCUGUAAGCGGCCCGUCUUGAAACACGGACCAAGGAGUCUAACAUCUAUGCGAGUGUUUGGGUGUCAAGCCCGAGCGCGUAAUGAAAGUGAACGGAGGUGGGAACCUUUCGGGGUGCACCAUCGACCGAUCCUGAUGUCU